rnacentral:rRNA from 1 species
CUAACAAGGAUUCCCCUAGUAACGGCGAGUGAAGCGGGAUGAGCUCAAAUUUGUAAUCUGGUGGACUCAGUUCAUCCGAGUUGUAAUCUAUAGAAAAGUUUUCCGCGCCGGACCGUGUCUAAGUCCCUUGGAACAGGGUGUCAGAGAGGGUGAGAAUCCCGUGCUUGAUACGACCACCGGUGCUAUGUGAUACUUUUUCAACGAGUCGAGUUGUUUGGGAAUGCAGCUCAAAAUGGGUGGUAAAUUCCAUCUAAAGCUAAAUAUUGGCGAGAGACCGAUAGCGAACAAGUACCGUGAGGGAAAGAUGAAAAGCACUUUGGAAAGAGAGUUAAACAGUACGUGAAAUUGUUAAAAGGGAAACGAUUGAAGUCAGUCGUGCUCUCUGGGACUCAGCCGGUUCUUCCGGUGUAUUUCCCAGUGAGCGGGUCAACAUCAGUUUAGAUCGCUGGAUAAGGUCAUUAGGAAUGUGGCUCCCUCGGGAGUGUUAUAGCCUAGUGUCGCAUACAGUGGUUUAGACUGAGGAACGCAGCUCGCCUUUAUGGCCGGGGUUAGCCCACGUCCGAGCUUAGGAUGUUGACAUAAUGGCUUUAAACGACCCGUCUUGAAACACGGACC